rnacentral:rRNA from 1 species
GAUGAACGCUGGCGGCGUGCCUAAUACAUGCAAGUCGAGCGAACGGACGAGAAGCUUGCUUCUCUGAUGUUAGCGGCGGACGGGUGAGUAACACGUGGAUAACCUACCUAUAAGACUGGGAUAACUUCGGGAAACCGGAGCUAAUACCGGAUAAUAUUUUGAACCGCAUGGUUCAAAAGUGAAAGACGGUCUUGCUGUCACUUAUAGAUGGAUCCGCGCUGCAUUAGCUAGUUGGUAAGGUAACGGCUUACCAAGGCAACGAUGCAUAGCCGACCUGAGAGGGUGAUCGGCCACACUGGAACUGAGACACGGUCCAGACUCCUACGGGAGGCAGCAGUAGGGAAUCUUCCGCAAUGGGCGAAGGCCUGACGGAGCAACGCCGCGUGAGUGAUGAAGGUCUUCGGAUCGUAAAACUCUGUUAUUAGGGAAGAACAUAUGUGUAAGUAACUGUGCACAUCUUGACGGUACCUAAGCAGAAAGCCACGGCUAACUACGU